rnacentral:rRNA from 1 species
AUUGAACGCUGGCGGCAGGCUUAACACAUGCAAGUCGAGCGGGGUGAUGGUGCUUGCACUAUCACUUAGCGGCGGACGGGUGAGUAAUGCUUAGGAAUCUGCCUAUUAGUGGGGGACAACAUUUCGAAAGGGAUGCUAAUACCGCAUACGUCCUACGGGAGAAAGCAGGGGAUCACUUUUGACCUUGCGCUAAUAGAUGAGCCUAAGUCGGAUUAGCUAGUUGGUGGGGUAAAGGCCUACAAAGGCGACGAUCUGUAUCGGGUCUGAGAGGAUGAUCCGCCACACUGGGACUGAGACACGGCCCAGACUCCUACGGGAGGCAGCAGUGGGGAAUAUUGGACGAUGGGGGGAACCCUGAUCCAGCCAUGCCGCGUGUGUGAAGAAGGCCUUAUGGUUGUAAAGCACUUUAAGCGAGGAGGAGGCUCUUUUGGUUAAUACCCAAGAUGAGUGGACGUUACUCGCAGAAUGAGCACCGGCUAACUCUGUGCCAGCCGCCGCAGUAA